GGCAAGCUGUACUGUCAAAAAGUAUACCUUUUCCAGAGAUAAGUUUGCAGUUUGAAGCAGUAACUGAGCUUGAGGCUGUCUUGAAUGCACCUUUUUCUCUUCCUUUUGCUUUUUUGUUCCAUUUCAGUGCACUUUGCAAGACCUUGUUGAGUGUCCCACUGACAUCUAUGCCUCCGGGGCCAUUUUACAGCUCUGUUGCCUGUUCUUUUGGAAUCUAUGUUUUUCCUGAUUGACUUACUACUAUACUGGUCUGCCUAUUGUCCUGAGAGGAAACAUGACCACCCAAUUUCAGUGUAAGAAAGUGAACUGAGGGAACCAGCACUUCCAGGGAAGUCCUUGCACCAUGAGUGACAUCCAUCACUUCUGUAUGCAGCCAGUUGUCCAGAAUGAGUCAGACACUCCAUUUAUUGCAAAGGAGGCUGGCAAUGCUGAGUGAUGGGCAGCAGCACUGGUCAUUUAGUGCGCACCAUCCAGAUUGUCCCCUUAGAAUCCAUUAAAAUCUCAACCAGAGAACCGGCAUCAAGUUGAACAAUUAUUGUGGACAAAACUUUUUUCUUUGAAAAAA